UACAGAGGUCUCAAGCGUUGUUCGGAUUCAUUGGGCGUAAAGGGUGCGUAGGCGGCGCGGUAAGUCGGGUGUGAAAUUUCGGAGCUUAACUCCGAAACUGCAUUCGAUACUGGCGUGCUUGAGGACUGGAGAGGAGACUGGAAUUUACGGUGUAGCAGUGGAAUGCGUAGAUAUCGUAAGGAAGACCAGUGGCGAAGGCGGGUCUCUGGACAGUUCCUGACACUGAGACACGAAGGCCAGGGGAGCAAACGGG
rnacentral:rRNA from 1 species